rnacentral:rRNA from 1 species
CCUACGGGAGGCAGCAGUGAGGAAUAUUGGGCAAUGCCCGAAAGGGUGACCCAGCAACGCCGCGUGGAGGAUGAAGUCCUUCUGGACGUAAACUCCUUUUAGAGGGGACGAAAAGCCCGAUUUGUCGGGAAUUGACGGUACCCUCAGAACAAGCACCGGCUAACUACGUGCCAGCAGCCGCGGUAAUACGUAGGGUGCAAGCGUUGUCCGGAUUCACUGGGUGUAAAGGGUGCGCAGGCGGGCUCUUAAGUCAAAGGUAAAAUCUCGCGGCUUAACCGAGAAAUUGCCUUUGAUACUGAGAGGCUAGAGGACGGGAGAGGGAGAUGGAAUUCCAGGUGUAGCGGUGAAAUGCGUAGAUAUCUGGAGGAACACCGGAGGCGAGGGCGGUCCCCGGGCCCGUUACUGACGCUGAGGCGCGAAAGCGUGGGGAGCAAACAGGAUUAGAUCCCCGGGUAGU